AACGCACAUUGCGCCCGCCAGCAUUCUGGCGGGCAUGCCUGUUCGAGCGUCAUUUCAACCCCUCAGGCCCUGGUGCCUGGCGUCGGGGCUCUCCCUCGCGGGAGGCCCCCAGAGACAGUGGCGGACCCGCCGCGGCUCCGAGCGCAGUAGUAAAAUUCUCGCUCAGGAGGCCCGCGGAGGGGAUCACCGGCCGUAAAAAUUAGGUCCCUCGGGACCGACCCCACCAAGGUUGACCUCGGAUCAGGUAGGAAUACCCGCUGAACUUAA
rnacentral:misc_RNA from 1 species